rnacentral:rRNA from 1 species
UACAGAGGUCCCAAGCGUUGUUCGGAUUCACUGGGCGUAAAGGGUGCGUAGGCGGUCGGGUAGGUCUGAUGUGAAAUCCCGCAGCUUAACUGCGGAACGGCAUUGGAUACUAUUCGGCUCGAGGAGUGGAGGGGAGACUGGAAUUCUCGGUGUAGCAGUGAAAUGCGUAGAUAUCGAGAGGAACACCUGUGGCGAAGGCGAGUCUCUGGACACUUCCUGACGCUGAGGCACGAAAGCCAGGGGAGCAAACGGG